CUGCGGAUGGCUCAUUAAAUCAGGUAUCGUUUAUUUGAUAGUACCUUACUACACGGAUAUCUGUGGUAAUUCUAGAGUUAAUACGUGCUAAAAACCUCGACUUCGGAAGGGGUGUAUUUAUUAGACUAAAAACCAAUGCCCUUCGGGGCUCCUUGGUGAUUCAUAAUAACUCAACGAAUCGCAUGGCCUUGCGCCGGCGAUGGUUCAUUCAAAUUUCUGCCCUAUCAACUUUCGAUGCUAGGGUAGUGGCCUAGCAUGGUUACAACGGGUAACGGGGGAUUAGGGUUCUAUUCCGGAGAGGGAGCCUGAGAAACGGCUACCACAUCCAAGGAAGGCAGCAGGCGCGCAAAUUACCCAAUCCCGACACGGGGAGGUAGUGACAAUAAAUACUGAUACAGGGCUCUUUUGGGUCUUGUAAUUGGAAUGAGUACGAUUUAAACACCCUAACGAGGAACAAUUGGAGGGCAAGUCUGGUGCCAGCAGCCGCGGUAAUUCCAGCUCCAAUAGCGUAUAUUAAAGUUGUUGCAGUUAAAACGCUCGUCGUUGAACCUUGGGCCUGGGCGACCGGUCUCCCUCACCGGAUGCACUGGUUCGGCCGGGCCUUUCCUUCUGGGGAAUCGCAUGCCCUUCGCUGGGCGUGUCGAGGAUCCAGGACUUUUACUUUGAAAAAAUUAGAGUGUUCAAAGCAGGCCUUUGCUCGAAUACCUUAGCAUGGAAUAAUAGAAUAGGACGUGCGGUCCUAUUUUGUUGGUUUCUAGGACCGCCGUAAUGAUUAAUAGGGUCAGUUGGGGGCAUCAGUAUUCAAUUGUCAGAGGUGAAAUUCUUAGAUUUAUUGAAGACUAACUACUGCGAAAGCAUUUGCCAAAGAUGUUUUCAUUAAUCAGUGAACGAAAGUUAGGGGAUCGAAGACGAUCAGAUACCGUCGUAGUCCUAACCAUAAACUAUGCCGACUAGGGAUCGGGCGAUGUUAUCAUUUUGACUCGCUCGGCACCUUACGAGAAAUCAAAGUGUUUGGGUUCUGGGGGAG
rnacentral:rRNA from 1 species